CACUAAGCGGAGGACGAAAAACUAACCAGGAUUCCCUCAGUAACGGCGAGUGAAGCGGGUAGUGGCCCACGGUUGAAAUCGCACGCCCCGUCGUGCGACUUGUAGACCGAAGAAGCGGCCCGGUGCGGUGGUCUUCCAAACCGUCGCGUCCAAGUCUCUUGGAAGGGAGCGUCGGAGAGGGUGACAACCCCGUGCGCGACGCGACGGCCGCCGCCCGACGGGUCGCUGUCCGAGAGUCGGGUUGUUUGGGAUUGCAGCCCAAAACGGGUGGUAGACUCCAUCCAAGGCUCGACGAAUACGGGCGCGAGACCGAUAGCGAACAAGUACCGCGAGGGAAAGAUGAAAAGAACUUUGAAAAGAGAGUUCAACAGUGCGUGAAACCGUGCGGAUCCAAGCCCAUGCGGCCCCCCCAUUCCCCAUCGGACGAGACUCGAGCGUCGCCCGAGUCGCCGGCCCGGUCGGACGUCGAGCGAUGCGUCGCCGCGUCCGCCGAGCUCCGACCGCGGCGCGCCCGGCCACGUCUCCGUCCGAGACCAGGGGAGCCGGCCUCUGCGGGGACGAACGCGUUCGCCACUCCUCUCCUCGGGGAGGAGUGCGGCCGAUCGAUUCCGGAGGCCGACUCCGACGGAGUCCAGCCACGGGGGCCGCAUCGGACCCGUCUUGAAACACGGACCAAGGAGUCUAACGUGCGCGCGAGUCCUCGGCUCCGACCAGAGCAAGAGGCGCAAUGAAAGUGAACGAGACGAGAGCCCCCCUCGCUCGUCGAAGGGGGGUGCGUCGUCGACCGACCGCCUUCGCGGUUCGAGUCGGAGCGCGUCCGAUGGGACCCGAAAGAUGGUGAACUAUGCUGG
rnacentral:rRNA from 1 species